AUCAAAUAUUACAACUCAAACAUAUAUAUUCUAUGUACUAUUUUUCAUCCAUUACAACUAAUAAUAUAUAUAUUCACCCCUACAGGUCACCAACGGCUAUCUUCUCCAACGGUGAUAUAUAUAUCCCAAGAAUCAACAUAUCAAGGUUAACUUUUCAAUCAAAUGGUUUCCACUACAAUUAAACCUCACCGGAACUCAGGCGAGCCCGGAACCUCAAAGCAUCUCCAGCGACGCAAAGCACUGGAGAUCUUCAAUGGACGAUGUCGACCACUGGAGGACGCCAAGCACUGCCACAAGGACCAUUGCCAACGCCUCCGACGCCGAUCCAAAUACCAUGGCGGCACGACCACGAUCGAUGGCGUGGUCGUGUCGCUUCCAAUGUAACGUUUACUUCAUUAUUGCUUACUCUUCAUUAUCGGACUUUGUAUUCUACUUAUCGCACUUGGCAUAUCAUGUAAUAGCAAAUUCCUUAAUCAAUUUUUUAAUCGUCACAUUACAACUGUUAAUUAGAUGGUUAGGACCAUCCUUUCAAACAUGGUAUCAGAGCGAAUGAAGAUCCCACUUCGAUCAAAAUAAAAAUGAACCCAUAACCCCAAACAAAAACACAUCAGGAAGAAUGGUCAUCAAUGGAGAAAUUGAUGACCCAAACAACCUGACCAAAACGACCCUAAGGCAACCCACCACCCACUGUCGACUCCGAACAGCUGGACACACAAUGUUGUCCAGCAUAGUCAGAGGUCAAGGUGCACGGAUCGCUUUUAAGGAAAUUUUCUUUAAAGAAAAACUCCUUAAAGCCGCGAUCUGCCCCAACCACUUUUUCACCUCCAACCACGAAAUCAACACCCAAAUCAAUUUUCAAGUUUCAAAUCAACACCCAACGCCUCACGCACCUCGACGGCGCUUGACGACUCCAUUCAGUUCGUACCCCAUUCAGAAAUCGAUGACACCUGCAACCCACCGCUCGACGACCGCUCACGCAACACUCUGCAACCCACCGCUCGACGACCUGCGCGCAACAUCCUGCAACGAUCGACCGACCGACUCAGCACACGCACGGCCGCCGACCACUGAGGCACACGCGCGAGCGACGAUCACCCCACGCCCGUCCGACCCCAACAGACCGGCCGACGACCCCCCUACUGUCGCACGUGUGACAUCAUAAAAUUUUACAUUGCAGUCCUUGAGGAUCUUUCCUUCAACAACUUCGUCCACUGCUGGAUUAUUUUCAAAACAGUCCUUGAAGAUCUUUCCUUCAACAACUUAGUCCGCUACUGGAUUAUUUUCUCAACAGCCCUUGAGGAACAUUCUUUCAACAAAUUUUACCUCAACAAAUCUCACUACUGCAUUACGGUCCUCAACAAGUUUAACAACAAAUUCCAAGGCUGCAUCACAGUACAUCACAGCAACAAGAAUAGCCUCACGCUAAUAUUCACACUCACACCCAACGACAACAACAUGUUGAAAGACAGAGAGAACAAGGAUGACUACAAUAGGGGAACUGACAACCCGUAUUACAUCACCGGGAGUGACAACCCGAAUGUCUAAAUGACGGAAAUGAAAAUGGACGGAGGGAACUAUCGCGUAUGGGCAAUCCACAUGAGGAGAGCACUCUCCAUCAAGAACAAACUAGGCUUCAUCACAGGAAGAUUACGGGAACCGGCUGAGGACGAUGUAAAAUACGACGCGUGGAACCGUUGCAACGACAUUGUCAUAGCUUCGAUCCUCAAGAGUCUAGACGCGAAGAUUGCACCAAACUACUUCAACGCCACUAAAGCGUCAUCUCUGUGGAACCAACUUCAAGUGAAUCAUGCGACCGACAACGGACUGGCAAAGUUUAGAGCAUUCAGAGCACUUGCAACAUGCGUCCAAGGAGACGAGAGCAUUGUCUCUUACUAUACUCGACUCAACACAAUUUGGGGCGAGAUAAAAGACUGCACGUCGAACGUUCCAUGUGCAUGCUGCAACUGCACGAAGAACAACAACGAUGAAAAGGUAAUGUUCUUCUUGGGUGAAUUGCAGGAAAUUUACACCAACGUCCUCGGAAACAUACUCAUGAUGAGUCCAAUUCCCACCAUGGACGACGUGUAUCGACUGGUCGCACAAGAUGAACAGCAAAGAAACCUGAACAACAUCAACACAGAGGCACAUUCCGAGGCAACCGCACUCAUGGCUCUGAAGAAGAAAUUUCCCAAGAGCACUACUGCGGGGGAUACUCCAAGAACACUGAUAACAGAGGACGUCAGGAAACAAGUAAGAAAGAGAAGUGUACCAGUUGUAAGAAGCCCGGACAUAGUCAUGAGACAUGCUACUUCAUCCAUGGCUUCCCGGAAGGCCACCCAUUGCAUGGAAAGAAGUUUCCACGGAAAGAUCGCGAUUUCAAAGGGAAAAAGAAAACCAGUAAUUAUCAUGAUUCUGCAGAUGAAGGGAGGGGCAAGGAACUGGAAAAACAAAACAUGCCAGACCAAAGACUCACGUUCACCGGACAGCAGUUCUCGACCUUAAUGAACCAUCUCAACAUGCGAGGAAAUCAAAGUGAAUCAGACAGGUACACGACAAGAUCCUUCGAUGACACGAGCAACGAAAGAUCCAACUCUCAUUCUCACAUGGCAAGGAGGUACCCGGAUCAAGACCACGACUCAGGUAAACAACCCUUUAAAUUCAAAACAUUAGAUCCAACUUUAUGGAUAGUAGACACCGGAGCAAUUGACCACAUGGUCAUGCCCGGAUGCACACUUCAGGAUCUUAAAAAAUUGGCAAAGCCAACUCGUAUAGGCUUUGCCGAAGAUCGAACGACAAUAGUCGACUCAAGUGGAACAUUCAAAAUAUCGAACGAUAUUUUGUUAAAAAAUGUUUUGCAAGUACCAAGUUUCAAUGUAAAUUUACUCUCCGUGAGCCAACUAACCAAGGACACGGAUUGCACUAUUGUAUUUAAAUCAAAAUCUUUUUCCAUACAGGACCCUCAAGAAACAUUGAUUGGCACGGGUAGGGAGAUCGACGGGCUGUAUAUCUUGUCCAUGGGAGACUUCAAAUCAGAAGAACACCCAAGCAAGGCGCUGACAGCCCACGUACUGCCCAACACCUGGCACCGUCGGUUGGGACACCCAUGCGGUUCCCGGUUCUCUUAUUUCCAUCUACUUAAUGACAAUAUUCUCAAAACUUUCAAUGAUUUUUGUAAUAUAUCUUCUCUCUAAACAGAGACGAACAUCAUUCGGCAACAGUAAUUCUCAUACUUUAAGAUUAUUUGAUCUCAUUCACAUGGAUCUAUGGAGCAAGUACCGCACAUUAAGGACACUCCUUCCUAACCAUAGUCGACAAUCACUCAAGAAUGACUUGGGUGUUCUUACUCAAAAACAAAAUGGAAGUCCCCACCAUUUUCAAACAAUUUUUAGUGGAUUGUGAAAACCAACACAAUUUACACCCAAAAAUAGUCCGUAGUGACAAUGGAACGGAAUUCACGUCAAAUGAAUUUCAAACCAUAAUCAAAACACACGGAAACAACCAUCAACUAUUGUGCCCAUACAUCCCCCAGCAGAACGGGAGGGUGGAACGGAAACACCAACACAUUAUCCAAACUGCAAGAUCAUUAAAAAUCGAGGGAAACAUUCCAGACACGUACUGGGGUGAGUGCGUUCUCACAACAGUUUAUCUCAUCAACAGAACUCCCACACCCACUUUGGAAAAUGACACACCUUUCUUGCGUUUUUUUGGAACAAAUCCAGAAUUAAACCAUCUAAGAACCCUUGGGUGUCGAGCGCAUGCCAAAAUAAACUAUGAAACCACAAAGUUCGAUGCAAGAUCAAUUCCAGGAAUCUUCUUGGGUUACUCAUACAAGAGCAAAAGUUUCAAUAUACUAGACACCCAUAACCGUCGCAUCAUCAUCAGUCGCGACAUAAUCUUCAACGAAAAUGAAUUCCCUUUCAAACCAAAAACUGUUGAAACCAACUCAAAAUCCACUCACACACAUGCCUUCUUGGAUGAUCUGGAUGUGGAAGAUCAAAGAGAAUUAAUCAGAAGUUGAAAAAGAACCAGAAGUUCAACAUGAAGAUGAAAACAAUGACGACUUGCCUACACAAGUAGAUCAAGCGCACGAACAACCCAACAGAAGGACAUCAGACCGACAAGUCAGAAUGCCUUCAAGAUAUAAAGACUACGACGUACACCUUCCACAAACCAACAAACAUCGAAUGACGAAUUUUGUGUCUUACAAUAACUUUUCAGAGACACAUAAACAGUUUUUGACAAAACUAGUUAGUUCCACAGACCCAUUGAAUUUCAAAGAAGCAGCCAAACACAAAGAAUGGAUAUGCGUCAUGAACAAAGAAAUUCAAGCACUAAAGGAAAACGAAACUCGGACCAUUAUCAGCCUUCCACUAGGAAAGAAACCUAUAGGCUGCAAAUGGAUAUACAAGACAAAAAGGAAUGCAGACGGCUCCAUCAACAAACACAAGGCAAGACUGGUCGUCAAAGGAUAUACGCAAAUGCAAGGAAUUGACUACAAUGAAACAUUCGCUCCAGUAUCCAAAAUGACUACAUUGUGCACCAUCCUCUCCAUCGCAACAUCAAGAGGAUGGUCUAUGCAUCAAAUGGACGUUCAGAACGCUUUUUUACAUGGAACAUUGGAUGAAGAAAUCUACAUGUCCAUUCCCCAAGGUUUCGGACACACUUCUCACAAGGUAAAAAACUUAAUCUGCAAGCUAAAUAAUUCAUUGUACGGACUAAAACAAGCUUCGAGAGUUUUUGAUACCAAACUCUCGAAGACCCUAAGAACCCUAAAAUUCAUCCAAUGCAAAAGCGAUUACUCGCUAUUUGUCAGGAAAUCAACUACAUCUACCGUAAUAGUUCUUGCCUACGUAGACGACCUAUUAAUAACAGGAAACAACAACACAGAAAUAGAAAGAACCAAGAAGGACCUACACGGUCACUUCAACAUAUCAGAUCUUGGGAAACUAAAAUACUUCCUAGGACUUGAAAUAGCUAAAACUAAAAACGGACUGUAUGUAGGACAACACAAGUACGCACUGGACAUCAUCAAAGGAACAAACCUGACAGACUGCAAACCUACAAAUACCCCAUGCAGCACGAGCAAACAGACCUCAAAACCCAACGACAAAGAUGAAGAACGACUGCUCGAUGACCCACAAAUCUAUCGAAGCAUAGUAGGAAAACUAGUGUACCUCACAGUUACACGACCCGAUAUAACCUAUGCCGUAAACGCAUUGAGCCAAAAAAUGUCGAGUCCAACCAAUGCAGACAUGCAAGCAGCACAUAGAACCAUAAGGUAUAUUAAAGGAUCACCUGGCACCGGACUGUUUUUCUCAUCACAUUCAACAGAGAGGAUAACAGGAUACUCGGACUCCGACUGGGCGGCCUGCCCCUUAACACGACGAUCCAUGACUGGAUACUGCCUCUACCUAGGACACAACAUGGUCAGCUGGCAGGCAAGGAAACAACACACAGUGUCAAAAUCUUCAGCAGAGGCCGAUUACCGCGCUCUCUCAAUGGUGGCUUGCGAAGUCACAUGGUUACGAGCACUGCUACAUGAAAUUAACAACAACAACAUGGAAAAGCCUGUAGGAACGCCACGUCAAUACACAGAUAGUACCUCUGCAACGUCAAUCGCAAGGAAUCCAGUUGCUCAUCAACGGACGAAACAGAUAGAGAUAGAUAUACACUUUGUCCGAGACAAAGUGUUGAAUUAAGAAAUAGAACUGUUAUAUGUUCCAACGAUAGAGAACCCCGCUGAUCUCUUCACCAAAGCACUACCAGGGCCCACGUUUAACUAUUUAUUUCCAAAAUUACAUCUACUAAAUGCUCACAAGACACCGGACAUCAAAUAGCAGUUAAUGCAAAACCAAGCCCUCCUCGUUAGUUUUGAGGGGGGGUAUCAAAUAUUACAACCCAAACAUAUAUAUUCUAUGUACUAUUUUUCAUCCAUUACAACUAAUAAUAUAUAUAUUCACCCCUACAGGUCACCAACGGUGAUAUAUAUAUCCCAAGAAUCAACAUAUCAAGGUUAACUUUUCAAUCAAAUGGUUUCCACUACAAACCUCACCGGAACUCAGGCGAGCCCGGAACCUCAAAGCCUCUCCAGCGACGCAAAGCACUGGAGAUCUUCAAUGGACGAUGUCGACCACCGGAGGACGCCAAGCACUGCCACAAGGACCAUUACCAACGCUUCCGACGCCGAUCCAAAUACCAUGGCGGCACGGC
rnacentral:lncRNA from 1 species